CAGCUGCGCAGUAAGCACACAGCGAAUUAUUCUUUCGCCUUUUACUAAAGAAUACCGUGUGUUUGUUGUAUCUAAGCAGCAUAAGCUUUUUUUUUGGAGGGGAAGUUCUUAUAGGGACAU